rnacentral:rRNA from 1 species
UCGGGUGGGUUGCCGAUGCACGUCGCUGACCCGAGGUGGCGGACGGCUUUUUUAAAAAGCAGCGCCGAACGACCGCGUCGCAAAACCAGCCCCRACGCACGCCCGCAAAGGCGAGGAGGGGGAAGAGUAGACGUCACGGUGCGCAAUCGGCCGGGCCGCACCGGCUUACCGCAGCCCCCGCGCCCGCCCGAUACGGUGGGGCGGAAAUGUCGAAGCACGCCGGGGUUAAAAGACCCCDCDGCAAGACCGGUUCGCCACGUGUGAACGGAUCGCGUUACGGUUCCUCCGUCCCCGGCAGAAAAGGGCAGUACGG